GACGAACGCUGGCGGCGUGCUUAACACAUGCAAGUCGAACGGAAAGGCCCUGCUUUUGUGGUGUUCUCGUGUGGCGAACGGGUGUGUAACACGUGAGUUACCCGCCCUUGACUUUGGUAUAACUUCAGGAAACUGGGUCUUAUACCGGAUAGGAGCUCCUUCUUCAUGGUGGUGGUUGGAAAGUUUCGGGGGUUGGGGAUGGACUGGCGGCUUAUCAGCUUGUUGGUGGGGUAGUGGCUUACCAAGGCUUUGACGGGUAGCCGGCCUGGGAGGGGGACCGGCAAAAUGGGGACUGAGAUAGGGCCAAGACUCCAAGGGGAGGAAGCGGGGGGGAAUAUUGAAAAAUGGGCGGAAGCCUGAGGCGGCAAGGCCGCGUGCGGGAUAACGGCCUUCGGGUGGUAAACCGCUUUCGCAUGUAACGAAGCGUGAGUGACGGUAAUGAGUAAAGAAGCACCGGCUAACUACGUG
rnacentral:rRNA from 1 species